GUGCUUUGCCAGAGAAGGGUCUAGGCAGAAGAUGAGGUUUUAAAAAGAUGUCAUUAGGAGAAGUCACUAGGAAGUUACUACUGAAGAAAGCAAAUGUCAGCUUCUGAAAGCUCGUGUGUUGACAGUUGCUGCUGCACAUGUGUGUCAGGAGAUGCGUCAGCUAAGUUCAGAUACACUGCCCUCCCAGCAAUGGAAGAAACAGCCAUUCAGGAGAUGCAGCCGGCCAUUCAUUUUUAUCAUCCUGAUGUACACCCUUGAAAACCAAUGGGAAGGUUGAAUGUGCAGUCUUUCAUUAUGUUUCUUACUAAGGAUAAGAAAACUGAAAUACAGAGAAGACAAAAACCCUGUCAAUAACUAGCAAGAAGACCCAGAGUUCAACCUCAAAUGUUUGGCUCUGAAAUUAAGACUUAAUCAGUACUCUGUAUUACCGAGAAGUGUUCUCCAAGAUGCCAGAAUGGACACAUGAUUAGGAGAGACAACUUCUAGGUGGAUGUUUAAGAAUAAUGUUCUAGAAGCAACUGAACCUCUGAAAAAGGAAGGAAGGAAGAGAUUAAAUUUAAAAAGAGAUAAUGCUACUAAAAUCUACCAACAUCAAUGCAUCUUCUCUGGGUCAGGAGUCACUUGGCUAAGUGUUUCUGGAUCGUGGUUUCUCAUAAGAUUGAAGCGAAAAUAUUGUAAGAUAUUAGCCAGGGAUGCAAGGCUGGACUUAAGGUGAUGAUCUGUUUCCAAGAUAGCUCAUUAACAUUGACUUUCCUCACCACGUGGGCCUCUCUCUAGGAUUGCUUUAGGGUUCUGACAGUGUGGCAGCUGGCUUUCCCUAGAAUGAAUAGUGAGAGAGAGAAGAGAAAGAGAGACAGAGAGACAGAGACUAAAACAGAAACAGAGAUGGAGAGAAGUGCCAUUUUCUGUGGUCACAGAGACCAACCCUGAAUCAGUGUGUCAGAAAAUACAGAGCGCAUGAAGACAUGAAGGCAGGGAUCAAUGUGGAGCACUUUUGAGGCUGCAAUGAAUGUAAAUGGAUUUUUGUUUUCCUCCAUGUGUCAUAUUGAACAACUCUUCACAAUCUAUAGAUAUAGAGGAUAUUUAAAAAUCUAAAUGACUUAGCUAUUAUUGAACAUAAAAUUAUAGACUCACCAGUAACUAGAACAAAAUUUUAGUCACAAUAGAUAUUCCGUAGAUAAGUUCUAAAAGUAAUAAUUUAUAUGAUUUAUUUUCAAGAUUUUACAUAGAGUAGGUGGUUAUUGAUACAUAAUAUGUAGCAAUGUUUAAUCUAUUAUCUCCUAAUGAUUUGUGAUCAAUGAUCAAUCAAUAUGAUUUUUCAGUUUGUUUAAAAUCCUUUAUUUAAACGUCAAAACAAUUUUAUCUUGUUCUAUAGACUCUAAACUCUAAAAAUGAUAUUUUAAUGAGACUAUAUAUCAUAAGGCAUGCUCAUAUCUACAUAUCCAUUUACCAAUUUCGUUGUCGUUGUUUCUUGCUAUUUGUCUCUCACUGUUGUGAUUUGUUUUCAAUUUAGUUCCUUUUAUAACAUGUAUAUAGCAUUUUGAGCCACAGCAAAAGUAUAAUGAGGUGUUACAUAAUUUCAUAUUUGCCUAAAGAUAUAUUUAUUUCACUCUAACUCUUGAAUAAUAUAGUAGUUGGCCAUAUAUUUAUGGUAUAAGCAAAGCCGAGGCACAAGCUUUUACUCAGCACUUACAUUCAGGGGUCCAGAUUUCUUUCAACUUUUAGCUUAUCCUCACAAGUCAACUGAAAAGUGGGGAUGUAAAAUAUGAACAGAUUUCAUAGGAUAUUUUUAUUUUUCGUGCCUAUCAAUACCACACACCACUUCCAUUCACAUCCCGUGGGUCAGAUCUAAGAUAAAUGGUUCGACUCUCAGUAAGAAAAGCUGGAAAAUAUCAGCAGGGUGUGGUGGCUUAUGCCUGUAAUCUUAUCACUUUAGGAGGCCAAGGUGGGCUGAUCACUAGGUCAGGAGGUCGAGACCAUCCUGGCUAAGAUGGUGAAACCCCAUCUCUAGUAAAAAUACAAAAAAAAUUUAAAAAAAUUAGCCGGGCAUGGUGGUGGGCCCCUCUAGUCCCGGCUACUUGGGAGACUGAGGCAGGAGAAUGGCGUGAACCCCGGAGGCAGAGCUUGCAGUGAGCCAAGAUUGCGCCACUGCACUCCAGCCUGGGUGACAGAGCGAGACUCCAUCUCAAAAAAAGAAAAAAAGAAAAAAGAAAAGCUGGAAAAUAUCAUUUAGUUUUGGCUCCAGAGGAAAGAAAACACCCAGAUAUUGUUGAACAACUGUAGUCACUUCCAUGCUUUUCAUUUUUCACACCUGAAAUUGUUGUUCUCAUCAUUGUACCUGUGUUAUUUAUUUGAAUACACUUAUUUAUCAUGUUUGUUUUAAGCAAAAUAGCUACAUUAGUUUGACUUUCAUGCAAAUAGAGCUAGCACUUGUAAAUUUUUAUACAAGUAAUUCAGUCAUUUAGAAAAUUUGUAUAAUAUAGAUAAGCAAAAAGAAAAAAUUUCACCUGAUUUACAAAUAAAAAUGCAUAGUUAACUGUUGGUCAGAAUACAUAGUAACUUGUUGGUAAUAAAAUUAAUGCUUCCACAUUUG
rnacentral:lncRNA from 1 species